UACCGAGGGCUCAAGCGGUGUUCGGAUUCAUUGGGCGUAAAGGGUGCGUAGGCGGCGCGGUAAGUCGGGUGUGAAAUCUCGGAGCUUAACUCCGAAACUGCAUUCGAUACUGCCGUGCUUGAGGACUGGAGAGGAGACUGGAAUUUACGGUGUAGCGGUGAAAUGCGUAGAUAUCGUAAGGAAGACCAGUGGCGAAGGCGGGUCUCUGGACAGUUCCUGACGCUGAGGCACGAAGGUCAGGGGAGCAAACGGG
rnacentral:rRNA from 1 species